AUGAAGAGCAAAGUGGACACGGUCGUGAACUUCACGCAUCAGCAUUUCACCACCCAGGUGGAGGUGACCGUCUGGGCGCCCCGGCUGCCCCUGCAGAUUGAAAUCUCCGACACAGAGCUGAGCCAGAUCAAGGGCUGGAGGAUCCCGGUGGCCUCCAACAGAAGGCCGACCCGGGAGAGUGAGGAUGAGGAGGAGGAGGAGCGGAAGGGCCGGGGCUGCUCCCUGCAGUACCAGCAUGCCCUGGUACGCGUCCUCACCCAGUUCGUGGCCGAAGUGCCAGACGCGGGCCGGCUGACCUACAUGCUGGGCCCCGACUGGCAGUUUGACAUCACCGACCUGGUCGCUGAUUUCAUGAAGGUGGAGGAGCCUAAGAUCGCCGAGUUACAGGACGGCAGGACGCUGGCAGGCCGGGAGCCAGGAAUAACCACUGUGCAGGUAUAGCUGUCCGCUCUGGUCACUUAGCCCAGCUUCUGCCUGUCCUGAUGGGCAGCUGAGUAGCUGUGGCCACCAAGGACACGUACACGGGUGAGAGAGUGCAUGCACACCCAGGAGAGUGGUGUUGGGGUGCCCGGAGCGAGUGUGUGUGUUAGAGAACUGUGAGGGACGAUAGGGUAUUAAGUGAAAAGGUGAUAUUUUUGGUGUCUUAGUGUUGAGAGGGUUACUGAAUCUUUUAUCAUGGAGAGCUACAGAAAACAGUGUGAUCUUUUCCUCGAUAUGGUGGUGUACUUCUUAAAAUGUACUCUGUUUGGCAUGCUGGGGAUGGAACUCAUGCGAGGCCAGUGCCCUACCACUGGGCAAUCUGCUCACCUGUUUUGGAAGUUUUUUUUUGAAAUGGGGUCUUGCUAGUUGCCCAAGCCAGCCUGGAACUUGCCAACCUCCCACUCCUUUAUGUCUUAUGAGGUAUAUUGCCUGCAGAGGGUAGUCAGAUCUCUGAAAGCUUAUUUUCCCCAUCGCCUGGAAGUAACCAUUUAGCUUUGUGAUAUAUUAGCUGCACUUAAAGUUGAUUCAUUAGCUGUAUUUCAGGAGUAGACAAAGAUUUUUAAAAGCAUGUAUUUGCACUAAAUAAUGAAUAUGUGGUUACAAACUCUCUAAUAGUAAAACAAUUUCUAGCUGAUUCUGGGGGGUGGGUUGCAGUGUGUUUUCUCUAUACAAACUUAAAAUGUAGCUUGUUCAUAUUUUAGGUGCUGGCAAAAUUGGGUUAAACGUGUUCUAGCCUGUCUUUGCCCCCCAUUUCUGUGUAACGGGUCCCCAGAACUUUAGCAUCUUGCAGCAACACUGAUUUACCAGUCCCAAGUCCAGGGUGUGGUGGGAUCUGGCCUGGGCCUCACCUGGGCUCAGGGGAAAUAACUGGCUUCAGAAGGAAGGACUUAGCCCUCGUAGUUGCAUAGCACUGAGGUCCCUGCUUCCUUGCUGUCCUCCUGGGGCCACUGUUCCCAGGGGACACUGACACUGCUUCUCAUGCGUCCCCCAUCAUCGGCAGUGGCUGGGUCAAGUCCUCUUCACACUCUCUGUGUCUCUGAUGCCUUGUGCCAUCGGCCAGGGCACAGCUCUUUGCUUCUGAGGGCAUCUUUGGUUGCCCUGCGCACAGACAUGUCAGUCACAGUGGUUGCUGUGCUCAGAUUUGUAGAUGUGAGUCCGGGCGGCCAACUGGAAGCUGCCUGCAAAGCACCAGGAGGAGACUGGUGAGCCAGGAGCUCUGUUAGGUGGGCAGUGCUGAGGUUUUGUGCUUGCUCCCCAGGUUCUGUCGCCACUCUCCGACACCAUCCUGGCUGAGAAGACCGUGCUCGUCCUGGAUGAGCGGGUCACCAUCGUGGAGCUGAGCGUGCAGCUGGUGGCUGGGUUGUCUCUUUCCCUGCAGCCUCACAGAGCAGACAAGAGGGUCAUCGUCUCCACAGCGGCUGCCCAGGAAGUCCUCCAAGCCCCACAGCAGGUAAGAGCCCCAGGGGCUCUGGGCCUGGUCUCCGUGGUGGCAUCCGGGAAAGUAGGUGAGGAAAGCACUCGCGCACAGCCACUGCCUCCGAGUCCUUCCUGCUUCCAGUCCAACCUUGCGGUGUCUGAGAAAAGCCUUCAGGACCUUGGGUGCAUUUUCCUUUCCGGUGGGCCAGUGUGUACUGUGAACAAAAGAUUGUGUGUUCACCUUUGCC
ensembl:lincRNA